rnacentral:rRNA from 1 species
AUGACGUGGGAGUCUCUCGCACAGCCAAAGAUUAAAGGAGGGAUGGGCUUCCGAGAUUUACAGAUGUUCAACUUAGCACUCCUUGGUAAACAUGGAUGGAGGCUAAUGACAGAACCCAACUCCUUGUGUGCUCGAGUAUUGAAAGGAAGAUACUUCCCCAACUGUGAUUUUAUGCAUGCCGGUGCACCCAAAAGCGCGUCGGCGACAUGGCGGGCAAUCAUAGCAGGGCGGAAGGCUUUGAAUGUUGGGCUGAUCAAAGGUAUCGGAAGUGGUACAACAGUGUCUAUAUGGGAGGAUAAAUGGAUCCCAAAUACAUUGACAAGGGCACCUGUUGCACGUCUUGGUGAUGCACAAAUUAGCUGGGUAGCAGACAUUAUUGAUGAUGAGAAUUGGACUUGGAAGUCUGAAGUUAUCAGACAAUCCUUUAUCCCUCCAGAUGCGGAUGCAAUCCUCAAUAUCCCUUUGAGGACUGGAGGGGGAGAUGAUUUCUAUGCUUGGGCGCCUGAGAGGUCCGGGAUUUAUACUGUAAAAUCAGCGUAUCGCUCUCUAAUGAUUCAAAACGAGCAUAAAGCUCUAGAAGAAGGGGCGACUACGGAUACUUCAGAGAUGGAUAAACAGUUAUGGUCUCGGUUAUGGAAACUCAAAGUGCUGCCGAUAGUUCGCGUCUUCUGGUGGCGCGUGAUGCGAGGGAUUCUUCCCGUUGAAAGUACACCGAAAUAUCGGCAUAUAUCCAGCGAGAGCAAGUGCAAAAUCUGUUUGAGUUCUGAGAAGGAUAUGAUGCAUGCAUUACUGAGCAGUACCCAUGCGAGAAGGUUUUGGAAUGAAGCUCCGCAGUGGCUGCAUGUUAAGCGACCAAACCUGCACCCUCUUACUUGGGUUAAGGAUGUCCUGUGUGAGUCUCUAUUUUCAGAUUCUGACAGAGCAAAACUUGUGUCUAUUAUGUGGGCUAUUUGGAUUUCGCGCAACAACAUUACACAUGACAAAGGAGAGUUUGAUCCUGUUCGGUCCAUGAAGCAAAUACAGGAAGCUCUAGCGAUCUUAGAGUUACCCUCAAGAUCAUGCUCGGAUCUUGCCUGGUCAUGGCUGGAGGCCGCCGGACGAUGGAUGGAUAAAAAUCAACAUCGAUGGUAG